rnacentral:misc_RNA from 1 species
ACGGGUUUGAAGGAUUGAAACUUGUUGUAGUGUUUACGGACCAUGCUUUUUUUACUACUUUUGUGCUGUAUAAGCAGCCUAAUCUAACGAAAUCUGUGCGUGUGAAUUCUGCAUUUUCUAUCUUGAGUUGUGUGAGGUGCAGCCUCUGUUUCACGUGAGUUUGCAGUGACAAGAAAAUCCAACAGAUACAAACAAGAAAGCAGAACAAUCAAUGCAUAGUAGCUCAAGCAACCAAUUUGCAAUAUCCUCAUAGGAUUUCGAAUCCUUAAAGUUCAUAAAUACAAAAACAAAUGGGAUUUCAAGUAACCAAUUAACAGCUCUACUUUUAAGCAUAGUUCUGAAAGACAUUUGGGUGCAGCGAGUCAGACCCAUGAACUAAGUUGAAGAAGACGACCUAACUCUGGUGAAUUUAUAUAAUAUUUAAUAAAAAUAUAUCUAGACUGAAACUAAUAACAACAAUUUAAAUUUCUUAAUCAAUAAACUCAUAAAAUCAUAAAGUCUAACAUAAAAAAAAAAAAAAAAAAA